AUAGCGUCAUCAAUGAAUCCACUCUUCAACGCUUCCACUGGGUAUGAACCACAGACAAGCCUGGACAAUAUCUGUUCACCUGCUUCCAAAUACAUCCAAAGUGAUCGAAGCAUGAUCGAAGCAUGAUCUCCUGAAAGGACGCGGAGGAAAUCUUGAUUCCUGAUGAAAAGCCAUCACAGCUCCAGAGGCAUUGCUCUUGUUGGCAUAAUGAAGGUAUUAAAGGCUUGCUGUUCAGAGAGUUUUCCUGGUCAUAAAGAGCUGGUUGUUGGGAUGGCCCUGCCUAACCACUGCAGAGAGAGCAGCUCUUAAGGGUUGCUGCUGGUCGGUAAAAGCGAUCUGGAGGCCUGCCAUUGAAAUAAUGUUAUACAGUGCAUUUUUUAAAGGUCAUGGGAUUGAAAAAGUACCUACAGUUUGGGCCUUUGCAUGCCUCCAUCCACGUGAGAUGUCAGCAUAUGUGAGCAGGGAGUACACCCCUGAAGUGGAGGCGGGCCAGGAGCUGUUCGGGGGCUAUACAUGGUUCGACAUUCAGUCAAGACAGCACCCCACAGCAAGCAAGAGUGAGACUGGGGCAGUGCAGGUGCACAGAAAUAAUGUUGUGAAAAUCUGUUAAGUUCUUAGUCAAAUUUGGCAAAAUGGACCCAUCUAUGCCGAGUCAGACAAAGGCCCUACAGACAGAUUUACACUUUGCAAAUAAGUAACGACCUACGAGAAAUGUAAUUGCUCCUAGUUUUAAAACGUAGUUUCUAAGCAACACACACAAUUCAACAUCAAAUCAAAAAAGGUUGUCCUUUUGGAAACUUUUUUAUAAUAUAUUAUGUUUUUGGUUUGAAUAUGUUUACUUAUAACUGUGACCUAGAAACCUUAUGUAAUGAGGUGGACUAUCUGCUUUUACCAGUGGACUUAGGGUCAUUAUCCUGCUAGGGCCUUUGACCUGUCAGGCUCAUCUCAGUUGCACUGCAUGGUAGCUGGCAGCUGUACCAUUGAAUCUAGUACCAGACCAUGAUGAAAAUGAGACUGAUUUGCUUAAAAUAAGAAAUGAAAGCUUUACGCGACUUUUUUUUCCAGCAUGCUUAGUUUUAAAAAUAAAACUAAGUUAAAAUGAUGAAAGGAUUUUUACUGACUUUUCAUCCAGCUGCUUCCACCUUUAAAAACAUUAGGGCUGUAAAAAUCAUGCUGAUAGGAAAACGGAGGAGGGAAAAUUGAUGUUUCAGCCAAUAGAAAAGCUAUUUACUUUUUUCUCUCUGGAGACAUUUCCACAGGCUUAGCCACUAUUAUUUAUUUAUUUUAUUUAUUAUUUGUGCUGUUCUUGCUUUUUAGUUUUUCCAUCAAUAUACACACCACGGUCCUAACAUACUGAGUCCCUGAAAGAUCAAUGUCCCAAAAACAGGAUUACACUUUGCAAAUGUAUUGUAAAUUCAAUAUCAAUUUGUGUUAUAUUGAAUUUAUAAUAUCCUUGUUAUACACCACAGAUACAAUUUAUUCUGUGUUGUAUUUAAAAUAUUUUCAUAUACCAAUUAUGGGUAACAUCGUGAAAGAGGGACCAGUAGUAAUUUUAAUUGGAGGUUUUCCGUAGUUCUAGGGGUGAGGCUCAGCCCACUAGACCAAUCCUAUUGGCUGACCAAUCCUAUAAAGACCAAACUCACCCUAAAAUGAGGGUCUCCCCACCAUCAGUCAGUGGUCUUACAUCACCUAGCCUGGGUUGACUUCUGACCGAGUUCGGAAGUGGCGCCUCAAUUGACGGACCAGAAGGCGAGAACCUAGGCCAAUCAGUAAUAAUUUCAUACAACAUUUGUAUACCACAUUUAUCAAUGCUGUGUCUCGAUCUUUGAAUAUCAUCAAUGCGAGGUAAAAACAAAAAAGGAUUUUGAAUCACUGGUUGUCGGUACCUCUUAACCACUGCUGAACCAGUAAGGCGAAGUGUUCCUCUGUUUUAUUGAUUAACACCAGAAUCAGCAUUGCUCCUGCUCUAACUGCCUAACCCAGACUGUGGAGAGCGGAAGCUAGGAAGUGCUUUCUAUUACAGAAUACAUUAGAAAUGCCUUGCAGUUUCAGUGAUAGCCCCCAGAGUGUAAUUAAUCAUCAUGCAACAUUGAAGAAAUCACAGCCGUGCAUUUCAUACACUGUGCCUGACAGUGAAUAAGAUAUAUCUGUAGUAAAAUCGAUGCACAAUAUAGUGGCAGAUAAAAUAAAAAUGUUUUAUAUGAUCUGCCUGGAAAAUACAUUUCCCUUCUUGCCUUUUAUUCAUUUUCUAAGCUGGACAAUGACAUUCACUGGUGAGGUCAUAAACAUUUUGUUUAUCUGUAUUUUAGA